UCUCUAAUUUAUUUAAUAUGUGUUUGUGUGAAUCAUUCUGUUCAUUCAGGGCAUGGUCUUCAUCCCAACUAUGUGUCAUUGUUAAUACCAGUUUACAGGUUGUUAUCCUUGCUAUCAUCAACUUGAAUACAUUACAGUUAAGUUCUAAAUCAAUUUAGCCUUUUGUUUAUUUUACUUUAUUCCUCUUGUAUCUAUAUGUAUUCAGUCGGGUCUGUUUCCAGCCCUUUUUAAACUUCUACUUUGAUCUUGAAUUUUUCACUUGGUGAGGGAUUAUUAUGUUCUUCCUGAUCUGAACUAUUCUCUUCACCUGGGCUGCUAUCCUGUUCUGAGUCACUGUCUUCUUUGUUUGUUAAUGCUUUUACUCUUUUUUGCCUGUCGUCCUCUCCAUUCCUCUCCCUUUCUUUUGGAUUACUCCUGCUCCGGUUUGUUGUUUUUCUAACCAUCCCUCAUCAGGUGUUAAUUUUGCUUGUUUAUUCCCCAUUUUCAAAGAUUUUGCUGGGCCUUCACUGACACGCUUGACUUCAGAGUGGUUUACUGAUACAGCCUUCGACUUGACCCUAAAGGUCAAGCGGUAUCAGUUUUAUGAGACGAAGCUCAACUGUUCUCCUCUGUCACCAACGUCUCACUGGUGGUUCGGAUCGCCAGACUGAAUCCCACCGCCGUGGACCAGACUAAAAACACCGGCCUGGACCCGAAUUUUAGAGUCCCAGGUCUUUCGGCUUCGUCUAAGAGGGCUGUGCACAGACUUCGGUGCUGGCUUCCCACGGCGUCAGGAAUCAGUGCUGGAUCCUGGAACAGAGUCACAGAUAACAGUUCUGAUGUUUCUGCCCCAGCUUCGAAGGACCAAAAUAAAUGUCAAGAGAUUUAUUCUAAAGACACUUCUUCAGCUAAGAGUCUAAGAGGAGAAACACACACAGACGCUGCAGCAUUUACUUGUAUACAAGGGCGAUCACAGAACGCUCACACCAGAGUGGGGGCCCUGUGAUGCGCGCUCUGUUCUUGCACGUGUCUUUAUUUAUACAUAAGAAAAAUGAAUACAUUUGACGUGAGCAUGUGCGUAUGUGUGUGUGUGUGUGUGUGUGUGUGUGUGUGUGUGUGUGUGUGUGCGUAUGUGUGUGUGUGCGUGUGUGUGUGUGUGUGUGUGUGGGAGGUCAGAACUGCUUGUUUGACUUCUUCCUAUCGCUGUGAGAAGACUCAGAUACAAAUAUCAGAACGUUUUAUAAAGAACAAUCAGUCCUGAACAAUGAAAAGAACAACCAGUUCUAAGCAAGGAAAUGAUCAUCAUGCAGCAUUCUAUCACAAGCAAACUUAUAUCAUUAAAAGCUUAUACUGACUAAAACAUACAAUUUUCUA
ensembl:lncRNA